CACACAGAAACACAGAGAUGACAUACACAGAGAGAAAUACACAGAGAAACAUACACAUACAGAUACACAAAGAGAUACACACAGACACUCAUAGAGACACGGAUAUCUACAGACACACUAACAAAGAUCCAUAGAUACACAUAUAGAGAUACAAACAGCCAUAGAUACAUACACAGAUAGACAGAGACACACAGAUAUAUAGGGACACACACACACACACAGAUACCCAUAGACACAUACAGAGAUAUACACACACAGGCACACACUCAGAUACAUAUGUGCACACCCAUAUGUUCCUUCUAACAUUUACCCUCAAAAUUGCUGAGUUUUAAACUUUCAGAUGGAACAAUUCGUUACAUCCCUAGAUGAUUUUCAUGCAUUCUUCUCUGAAGUGAUGGCCCAUGUAUCCCUAGACCCUAUCAAAAACACUGUCUUGAAACUAGUCAUUGAAGACAACUGAGGAUGGAGGUUUCUGUCCAGCCUGGUCCCACAGCCGCUUUGCCCCAAAUAAACACACAAAGACUUAUAUCAAGUAUAUAAUGUUUGGCCGAUAUCUUGGGCUUCGUAUUGGCUAGCUCUGUUUUAAUUAUUAACCCAUUUCUAUUAAUCCAUGUAUUACCAUGAUGCUAUGGCUUACCUGUAAUCUGGCUGUUACUCCUUUGACAGAAUGGCGUCUUUCUCUGCCUUCCUCUCCCCAACCUUCUCCUUGUCUGGUAGUCCAGCCUAUGCUUUCUGCCUGGCUAAUGGCCUUAGACUCACAGCAAUCCUCCUGUGUCAUCUUCCUAAUGUUAGGGUUACAGGCAUGAGCUACUAAGCCCUACUCUCUACUUUUCUUUCAUUAGCACUUUGAAAAUUGUAAUGUUUGGGGAAAAGCAAUGACUGUAUUUAUUAAAGAAACAAUGAUUUUGUAUUGACCUAGAGAAUAAAAAAGGAAGUAAAUAUUUUUGGCAAUCUGAAGAGAAUCACAAGUUUAGUGCAGUGGGUAGCAGUGCCUGGAGGAUGCAGUGGGUAGCAUUGCCUGGAGGAUGCAGUAGGUAGCAGUGCCCGGAAGGAUGCUGAGGUUAGCAGUGCCCUGGAGGAUGCUGAGGACAGCAGUGCCUGGAGGAUGCAGAGGACAGCAGUGCCUGGAGGAUGCUGAGGACAGCAGUGCCUGGAGGAUGCUGAGGACAGCAGUGCCUGGAGGAUGCAGUGGGUAGCAGUGCCUGGAGGAUGCUGAGGACAGCAAUGCCCUGGAGGAUGCAGAGGACAGCAGUGCCUGGAGGAUGCUGAGGACAGCAGUGCCUGGAGGAUGCUGAGGACAGCAAUGCCCUGGAGGAUGCAGAGGACAGCAGUGCCUGGAGGAUGCUGAGGACAGCAGUGCCUGGAGGAUGCUGAGGACAGCAGUGCCUGGAGGAUGCAGUGGGUAGCAGUGCCCUGGAGGAUGCAGAGGACAGCAUUGCCUGGAGGAUGCAGUGGGUAACAGUGCCCUGGAGGAUGCAGAGGACAGCGGUGCCUGCAGGAUACAGUGGGUAGCAGUGCCCUGGAGGAUGCAGAGGACAGCAGUGCCCUGGAGGAUGCAGAGGACAGCAGUGCCUGAAGGAUGCAGUGGGUAGCAGUGCCUGGAGGAUGCAGUGGGUAGCAGUGCCCUGGAGGAUGCAGUGGGUAGCAGUGCCUGGAGGAUGCUGAGGACAGCAGUGCCCUGGAGGAAAGGGUGUUUUGCUGGAUAGCAAAAAGAACAGACAUCCAUAUCUAGUACCUUGACCACCAAGGUUGGGUGAAGCCCAGCCGUGCAGUGACGCUUUGGGAGGUUUCUUCAGCUAUUGACUCACACCUGCUGGAUGUUUGCUACUUUGCUUCCUAAAGGGCUUUGCGAUGCAUCUGGCCUGAAACUCCUGGAAAUCCUCGGGCAUCAACUUCCCAAGUCCUUGGAUUAAAGGUGUGAGCUGCCAUUUUGGCUGCAGUAGGCCAUUUAUUGGCACAUGUUACCAGAAGUCUGGAGAAACGGCAGAUCAGUGACACCACAGAGACCCAAGGUUCCCAGCACUCUUUGCUGUCUUGAAACUCAGUGUUGGGUACUUCCUAAUGCGAAUCCUGUCUGUAGUGUGGCUGCCAGCAGGUCACUGUUUCCGCUUCAGUGUAGGCAAUGCUGUAGCAAUCCCUCUACACACAGUGGAAAGAACUCCUUUUUGCUAGCCUGACUUUGGUCAGUUGCUUAUGUCCACAGCAGUAGUUACGGGGUGGCGGGGCUUGUCUCCCUGAGUCUUGAGGAUUAGCAUUGUCACCCGUAACUCAGAUGAAUUAGAGUUUACUCCAGAGGCUGGACAAUACUGGAACCACACUGCCAGCUACACAGGCUCAACGCGCAGGCUGAAAUUUGGGAAGGCCCACUGCAGCGUACCUGUAGGAAUACAGAAGUUGCAACUGAGCUGUAGGAAGAGAUGGAUAAAGAGGAGCGAGCUGGAGAUAAAGGCCUGCUUCAGUACCACACAUCGCAGUCACCCAUGAGAAACAAUGGCUGCCAGUCUUCUCACCCUUCAGCAACAAAGAGCUUUCACGCUCUUGCUGUCAACAAGCGUUCUGGGAAGAGUACACUGGCUGAAAGGCACAAAUGGUCCUCCCUCUGCACCACAGACUCUGCUUUCAAACUCAACCAAACCAAGACAUCACGAAAUGUAUCUGUACUGAAUAUGUGCAGAAAUUUACCCUCAUUAUUAUGCUCCAAACAAUAUUCAGUAGUAACUGUUUCAUGUCUCGGCUCUGACAAUUAACCGGGAGCAGAAGGGAGGAUGUGCCUACAGGACAUGCAAGUACCUUAGUACUCAUGCAGAAGUUCUGAGUGUCCACUGAUUCGGGCAUCACAGAUGGACAUCUGCUGAUAGGUUCUGUACUCACAGAAUCUGAGAGGUGUCCAGAUGAUCAGGAGUUCAAGGUCAUCCUCAGUGUCACAAUGAGUUCAAAGCCUGGGCUACAUGAGAUCUUGUCUCACAAGACAAAACAAUUAAAAAUCUGUCUGAAACUGAGGCGCUCACCCUACUAGCUCUAACCAGAAGAGACAGAAUAAAAGCAAUGUUUUGGGAAAGCAUGGUCCAAAAUAAAAGAUAUUAAACAUAGCUAAUUUUAAAAGGGAUAUUUUUACACACACAACAAAACAAAAACCAAAUUGUUUUUCCUUAAGUGGUAAUUUUUCUCUUUAUUGUCAUUCAUUCCAUAAAGUUAUUGAUUGAUUAUCUUCACUGUACCAAACAUCAACAUACUAGAAAUAGAAAACAAUAAUUACAGCUAGAAAUGUUUGUAAUAACAGCUAGCUUAAAGGAUGUUGAUUAUGAUUGGUUAGGGUGAUGAAAUAUCAAAGGCUGAUGUGAACUAGCUUUAUCUUUGUGGCCACAUCCAUUCCUACCACACAAAUAAUCUGUCCUGAAGUUCUUUUGGUACUCUUUGGCCUCCCCUUCUGCAUAGUGAAGCUUCCACCAAUGAGAAUGGCCUUAAACUCACUCUUCUUAUAAAAGCUGCAGGAGGUGACAGCGUUGUGACUGUUUUUUUCCCCCGAGACAGGGUUUCUCUGUGUAGCCUGUCCUGAAUCUGUCCACCAGACUGGCCUCAAACGCAGAGAUCCCCCUGCCUCUGUCUCUCAGUGCUGGGAUUAAAGGCGUGCACCGCCGACACCUAGCCUUUUGCAGAAAUCUUUUCUUAACAGUGCUUUUUUUCACUGCUUGCUGACAUAGAAGGAAGACAUGUAAAAUAAAAGACAUGGUAUCUUAA